AUGCAUGGGCCCCCAUAUCAGGGCUGGCCCCUGCUGGGAGGGCAUAUGGGCUGCUUUGUUGGCAGGAAGGGAGUGUGUGUGCAGGGUCCACCAAUCACUGCCCUCGCCUGGGGAGUUAAACAAAUUGAUUGGCAGGCUAGUGGCGGCCAGUUCCAGACACUGUGGUCCCUAUUCAUCUCGACACAGAGCACACAAACAGGUCAUGUGAGGACAAUGGUAGAACUCAGGGGACCUCUAGGGUCUGUUCUUGACCCCAUUAAUUGAUUUGCCGUUUUAGAACACCUCUUCAGAGGCACCUGUCAGAAAAUCCAAAGAAGGCUAACCAUUUGAGUAGUCUAUCUGGACACCACAAUAGUCGCACUAAAUAGAGAGGUUGUCGGGUGGUUGAAUAAAGACAAAAUAUCAAGAGAGACAGAGAGAGCACUUUACAUUCACAGCUCGGUGGACGGAAGUGGAACUCAGUAGUUAGCAUGCGACGGCAAUCAACACAGUACUAAUAGGCAUCAAAAUGGGCAAGCAGUGAACGUGAUAAAAGAAAUUGGUUUGAGAUCAAUUGUGCUAUUCUUACUGAUAGAACUUCUCUACUUAUUACGAAGUGAUGGACGCAUCGGUCACACAAAUGGAUGGAAGUAGGGUUGGAUGGACAGACGAAUGAAUGAAUGUUAGUGGAGUUAAUGGUAUAGAAGCAGAUGCUGUCUACAGCCUCUGUUAGUGUAGCCCCCCUUGCUGUUGACGUCUCGAUAAAAGACCUUCCCCCUUCAGGUCACUUCAGUUGCCUGCUAUGUUUUGUCUCAUACCCCCCCCCCCCAUCAACCCACCAUUGCAAUUAUAAUGCCUCUGCUUUUUUCCCUUGUUUUUUCUUGUGUGUUUAGUCCUUUGACUGGAAAGGCAAAGUUCACACUGUGAUGUAGAGUAUUAAAGAUGGGUUGGAAAGUGUGGUUAUAGUCAUUUUUUUGUGACUUUGAUCAAUGGAGCAAAUAACAGCAGGAGUGUAUAGUGUGGGGGCAGAGAGGCCUCCCAGUGGGGAGGCCAAAGACUCAGCUAUGCCUCUAUCUGUGAGAGGACCUAAAAGACACCAGCUACCUCCAUCUGAUCUGAUUGUUUUUUGUUAGGCUGUAUUAUAUUUUAAAUGUGGCCCAUAUCAGAUUCCAGCGUGAACAAGUCACGGUCCUGAAGUGACCCACAUGAUGAAUGUUGAUCCAGAGUGAUGUAAAUGUCACAUGAAUUCUGAUAUGACCUGUAUCUGAGUGGCCCAGAACUGAAAAAGAUCAUAUUCCAUGUAAUUUGUGUUGUUCACACUGUCAUAAACAAACUGAUCUGACUGAAGACACAAAUGACCAAAAAAAAAAAAAAAAAAGAGAUUUGGAUCAUCUCAGUAGACAGGGUGUAAGUCUGCAGCCACGGUAGAGGCUUUUUGAGACUGCUUAGGGACGGCACUCCUUAGUUCCACCUAAGUUUAAAGUGUUGGCACUACACUGUAAAAAAGGAUACGAGGUUUUAGUUACCUCAGCUCAUUUCCUUCAGUCAGUUUAACUAAAAUGUGUACUUGAAAUAUCAAGUUUUUCUGCGCCCAACUAAUCAGUUCAAUCAGAGUCGUUCAGGCAACAUACAUUUCUUAGUUGACUCAACUUAUGUACGUGUGGCCCCUGCAAAAGUGCAUAUGCAACCCCACACAGCCAACAAGGGCUAUACACCUCCAUGUGCCAAAAUAAACUUCCUUUUCGGAUCAGGAGGAGGAAGAUCAAGGUAAGAACACACUUUUAGCCUGCUUGUAUUUAUCAAAAUGCUUGGUUAAGUAUUGUUAGAUAGAUAAAUUAGAUAAAUGUUACACUGAAAUUUUCAAAUUAAACCUGGCAGCAGCAGUUUUUAGUAACAUCAGAUCUUUUAUGGUGAAUUUUAAAAUUUUUAGUUGCUGUAGUUGGUAACAUGAACAGUAGUAGUAACAGUAGCUCAACUAUGGAUUUAUAUUUGUGCAUCAUAUCUGAGUGUGUUACGGAAGCCGUAAGCAGUCAUGCAUUCAUACAUUUUAUUUCCUCCGUUUUCUCAUAAUAACAAGUUAAUUUGACUUUGUUUUCCUAAAAUAACAAGAUAAUUAAUUCGAGAUCUCAAGAUAACAAAUCAGAUAUAAUAGGCCUGAGAGUGUGCAGUGAAUGUGUGUGUAUGGCGAAGCAACAGAGCAGGUUAGCAGUAGGAGUUUGGUUAGAAAGAAAUGUACAGUAUGUUGCAAUACACACUUAAAUAAAAGGCUACAGUGUUUCAAAGUCUGGCAGCCAAGCAGCAAAGUUUAACACCAGAAAAGCAAAGUCUUAUUAUCCCAAGAUCGCUGGAUAAUUAUCCCGUUAUCUCGAGGAAACAAAUGAAAUUAAUUCCUAAUCACAAGAAAAUGGAGGAAAUAAAAUGUAUGAAUGCAUGACUUCUUAGGGCUUCCAUAGUGUGUGACUUUAAGAACAGAAGUUUUGGCCUGUGAGAGCCAAAGCUGACCUCUUUGCUCUCAAUGUAUUUUAUGUUGUAAGGAAACCACUGAUACGACUAAUAAUUGCUUUUGUCCUUACAGAUCAGUGCAGAGUUUAUGCGACUGGUUUCGACUGAACUCCACGGGUCUUUCUUUGAUGGACUGGACGAAUAUGUCCUGAGCCUGCUCAAAAUGUACAGAGCGAAGUAGCACCAGUGCACCCCUGCGUACUCUGCUUCAGCCCCUUGACAUACAAGUAAGGACAGUAAAGAUUUUUACUACAUUGUGUUAUGACAUAUGAUGCUUUAUAAUGCUACAAUGUCAUGUAAACAGCCAAACAUCUUAAAGUGUCAUUUUGACAGAACAGCCAUGUCUCAUUUAACAUGUACCAGAUUGUAAAUCUGUUCUAAACCACAGUUUAAUUUGUCGCUAAGUGACACAGCAGCAACCCCAGUGUUCUCAGAAUUGACAUGGGCAUGCUUGAUUACAAUUUUUCUUCUUUUGUUGUUGUUGUGCUAUGAGACUUCAAAUCAGAAGAGAAGAGCAGUUGCUUUGCUUGGACUUCCAUACUACCUGAAGGAGGAUCCUUCAAGUUUCGUCUGUGUCUGCAAGGUGUGUGAAUUAAUUUCAUUGGCGUGGGAAACUUGUUAUGUGUAAAUAUCAAUGUUUGUUGUUGUUUUUCACCAUGUUAAAGAUAUGUCAGAUUUAGGGGACUCUAUUUACAGAAUAUGGCAGAAAUUAAUUAUAAUACUCUAAACUAUGUUUUCAUUUGUGUAUAAUCACCUGAAAAUGUCUUAAAGUGAGCCUUUUAUAUCUACAAAAUAAAAAAUCACAGUCCUGAGACUUUUUUUUCUGUUAAAAUUAUCU
rnacentral:lncRNA from 1 species